rnacentral:rRNA from 1 species
GGCCGCGGGGAUUCGAUUCAGGCCUAACAUGCAAGUCGAGCAAUGAAGCACCUUCGGGUGUGGAUUAGCGGCGAACGGGUGAGGAACACGUGAGGAAUCUGCCUUCCACUCUGGGAUAACUCCGGGAAACCGGGGCUAAUACCGGAUACUUUCAACUGGCGGCAUCGCCGGUUGAAGAAAGUUUUUCGGUGGAAGAUGACCUCGCGGCCUAUCAGCUUGUUGGUGAGGUAAUGGCUCACCAAGGCGACGACGGGUAGCCGGCCUGAGAGGGCGACCGGCCACACUGGGACUGAGACACGGCCCAGACUCCUACGGGAGGCAGCAGUGGGGAAUAUUGGGCA